UGGCGAACGGGUGAGUAACGCGUGAGGAACCUGCCUCAAAGAGGGGGACAACAGUUGGAAACGACUGCUAAUACCGCAUAAGCCCACGGGUCGACAUCGACCAGAGGGAAAAGGAGCAAUCCGCUUUGAGAUGGCCUCACGUCCGAUUAGCUAGUUGGUGAGGUAAUGGCCCACCAAGGCAACGAUCGGUAGCCGGACUGAGAGGUUGGACGGCCACAUUGGGACUGAGACACGGCCCAGACUCCUACGGGAGGCAGCAUG
rnacentral:rRNA from 1 species